rnacentral:ncRNA from 1 species
AGAACCUGCCCUUGGGAGGGGAACAAAAACUGGAAACGGUUGCUAAUACCCCGUAGGCUGAGGAGCAAAAGGAGAAAUCCGCCCAAGGAGGGGCUCGCGUCUGAUUAGCUAGUUGGUGAGGCAAUAGCUUACCAAGGCGAUGAUCAGUAGCUGGUCCAUGAGGAUGAUCAGCUACACUGGGACUGAGACACGGCCCAGACUCCUACGGGAGGCAGCAGUGGGGAAUUUUC